UCACAGACGUGGCUCAGAUCUGGCAUUGCUGUGGCUCUAGCAUAGGUUGGCAGCAACAGCUCCGAUUAGACCCCUAGCCUGGGAAUCUCCAUAAGACAAAAUAAAAAUUAAAAAAGAAAAGAAUUCAGGAAACUAUAGUCAGUCUCUUGAGACAGACUAUGCUAGAAGAUAAUAUACGAAAGGGAACGUAUAUAUAUAUGUGUGACUGGGUCACUUUGCUGUACAGCAGAAAUUGGCACAACAUUGUAAACCAACUAUACUGUAAUAAAUUUUUUUAAAAAGGAAAGUUUUAUGAGAACACAGCUGCCAAAAAAAAAAAACACAAAAAACAAAAAAAAAAAGGUAGAUAAGAGUGCUUUCUUUAGAUAACUAGUAAUGCCAGACAGAAAUUCUUCUCAUAAUUUUUUCAUACAUUGAUUUGGACCGCUUCAUACUUUAUAAGACUCUCUUAUAAGUCUUUUACGCCUCAAGAAGGAAAUUGAUGAGCAGGAGACUAAAGUGAGAGACAAAGGAAUUGGGAACCAGCUUUCCUGACCCCAGGCCAGUGGCAGUGUCUUUGACCACAGGAAAUCUUCUGAAGAGUUUCUCUGUGUUGCUCAUGGGGUCACUUUCUCUAGUGAUCACAUUAUAGAGAUUUUUAGCAGGUGUGACUUUAGCUGCACUUACGAAAGUCAUGUUGGCUAGGAGACAGCUUGUUCUGCUGGGCAUGUGCAGCGUGUUCUCAUGGUUCCUGGAAGCUGUGGUGGUUUCCUUGCGGACAAAUUCAAACAGCAUAAUUGGUGGGAGACCUGGGAGUCCUCACAGUGUGACCCUGAGUGAGUUACCCAUCCUCCCUGAACUUUCAGUUUCCCUUCCUAUGAAAUGGGAUGAAUACUAAUUUCUUGCCCCUUCCCAGCAACAUGUCUUCUUAUUGGCCAAGAAUCUUGUCAACAUUUCUUUGUUCCACUCAGUGAUUAGGAGAUUUUGGAGACAAGUGAACAGGGAUCCCCUUCUUGUGACCUAAUCUAGGGCCGUGAAUUCCACCACGCUGAGACGCUUAAUGUUUUUCCUCUCUCAUUUGGUAUAUUCAGACUCCAAAUUGCUUUUAAAAUCAGCUAAGACACUCUAGGUAUCUUCUAAAUCCAAAUUCCAUGUACAUCAUAACUGUUUAGAUAAUUAAUGGAAUCUACACAGAGAGAGGGAUCAUACGAUUUUAGCAUUUCCCUGCAGGAAACUUAAGAGUUCAUCUAGUCCAACCUUCUCAUUUUAUAGUGGAGGGAACUAAUGAUCUGAGAGGAGCAAUGUCUUGUCCAGGGUCACUGUGACAGAGCUAGGGCAGAGAACCCCUGCCUCUUUAACUUUCAAUUCUGUAUUCUUUCCAUUGGUUCAUGUGUCUUGGGACCACAGUAACCAGAAAUAGAACCUCAAGUUCAAGAAAGCAGACCAGACAAGGGUGUGUAAGUCUUAAUGUUCCCCAGAGCCAGAUUCCAACUCCAUGUGCGCAUUUUGGCCAGCGGGGCUGUAAUAUCCUCGUGAAGGAUGGAGGACUCAUGGUUGCCAAAGCCUCCUCUUUGUCCCUUCUCAUCCCCUAAGACCCUGCCCAGACUCUGCAUCUGAUUGAACUCCCACUUUUCUGUAUUUAUUUGGACAUGGUUGCAUUUGCACUUUAUCCUAUAGCUCUUACAUUUUUAUCUUCUUCUCAGCUUUCAUCAUUUUAUAGUCAGCAUUGACUGAGGGUGUGCCUGGUGGAAGUCACGGUGCAGUGGGCUGAACACACAGUCUCUUCACACAAUCACAGUACAACGGGUCUGAGUGAGAGCAGCUCACAGAGAUGGGGGGCUCCUGAGAAAAAAGACCGAAGUCACCCAAAGGAGCCAAGAAAGACAGUAGAUGGGACGAUAAUUCUCCUUUUCUGAUCAGCACAGGAAAACUCAUUCUCUGCAGUGGUAUCUUUCAGAGUAAUCUUUCUCUUGUUUUCAAUAAAAGAGGUCAACUGACUAUGUAGGAUUGUUUUCCCCCACCUUCAGGUCCACCCCAGUCUUAGAUACCUUACCUGAUCUCUUUGAACAGAGCUGUUGCCUGAUAUUUCAAUCAGUUUUUACUUCACAGUGAAAAAGAAUCAUCACAGCCCAGAGACACAGGCCCUUGUAUGUUAGUGGAGGGGAAGAGACUGUCCUCCAAAUGUUUCCACUCCUACUUCAGUUUUCUGAUCUGUUUUCUCUAUUUACUUUCCUUUUAAAAAGACAUUGACAGCAUUCCCGUUGUGGCUCAGGCAGUUAAGAACCCGACAUAGCAUCCAUGAGGAUGCAGGUUUUAUCCCUGGCCUCGCUCAGUGGGUUAAGAAUCCAGCUUUGCCACAAGCUACAACCUAUGCAGCAGAUGCAGCUUGGAUCCAGGGAGGCUGUGGCCAUGGUGUAGGCCACAGCUGCAGCUCCAAUUUGACCCCUGGCCCAUAAACUUCCAUAUGCCACAGGUACAGCCAUAAAAAUAAGUAAGUAAAGAAAUAAAUGAUAACAGACACCUAGAUGUUUCCUAGAAACACCCAAAGCACUAUUAGCCUUUUAAACAGAAUCUUAACACCAUCCAGACGUGUUUAAUUUUCAAAUUUCUUUUUACCCUUCCUUAUCUUAGAACGUUUAUCUCUUUUCCAUACAUUUUAAGAUGUAGAUUUGAGUAAGUAAGCGCAUGGCAGGAGAGGAAAAUCAUCCCUUAGAGGUUUGCUUGUCUGCAUAUCACCAGUUGCUAGGUCUGUGUUCCAUAACAUUGUGACCCUGGAUUAUAUUAAGUUCCCAGAAAAGGACAGAAGUAACAAUAAUUUUGUAAAGCCUCUAUCACAUAGCAGGCACAGUUCUAAGCACAGUAGAGUCAAAAUCAGCACCUGUGCAGGUCAGUCCCUUGCAGAGCUAAGCCCAUAGACCACCCACAGGCCCAUAUACUCAACAGUCCUAACUUGGGGCAGUCAAGCUAUCACAGUGAAUCAUUAAAGACUUAAGAAUGGCAAGAGGAUUUACCCAGCCUCCUCUCGUUUGAGAGUACCAGUAGGUCUCACCUGGUUUGCUCCAGGCCAGUCUGCCUCGGAGCGCACCGUCCAACAUUCCUGGAGGGUAAGGCAUCAAACCCCAGAAGGGGAGCCCAGAUCCCCCUGACCUGCUUCUCUAUGGUCCUCAUGCCCCUGUUAUUUGCAGCGUGGAGAGACUCCUUGAGAAAUGUCGAAUGUGCUGAAUAUAAAAUCUCCAAGGCUGCGGUUCCCACCUUUAAAACUUGCCUCCGCUUCUCCCCAGGGUGUUCCCUGUUCAUCGCUCCCUGUUUUCAUCUCAGUGGGAAUUCUGAUACUGCCACUGCACCUCAGUCCCCAAAAUGUGUUUCAAAAUGUUUCUGUAUUCUUUAAGUUUGGUUAAUUCUGCACACUCAUCGCUUUUGAAACUCAUGUAUUUGACAAAUGCUCACGUAAACGUAAUUGUAUCUUUUUCAGGCUCUUCCUGACUGUACUGUCAUUAGUUAACCAUGGGAGAAAACCAAGGUGCACGAUAAUUAUUCAUGAUACCUUGGAUUUACACAAACUCACUCUGGGUGAACUUGAGGCAGAUCAUUCAUAUUAGCUCAUCUUUCCUACCAGAGCUGGGUUAAGAGACCUAGAUUCUAUUCUUGGUCCUCUAAGAACCUUCUUGGGGAAAUGUACUUAGCCACGGAGGGUUGCAGUUCCCAGCUGUGAAACAGGAAUAACAAUAUGAGGAUACUUGCUUCCCCUUCUCCUUGUCCCAAACCUUUAGAACAUAAAAUAGCUUUAAAAGAUCGGCAGCAACAUCGGAAAGUGAAGAAGGAGGGUGUCUUAUCUUUAUGUCCAUUAAUGGAAAGGCAAGAGACAGUAUAGGAAUUUGACUGGAAACCCGGACGGGUCAGAAUUAUAAUCCCAUCUCUUCUUGAUGAUGGGUCAUGGCCCUGGCUACCUCUCGCCUUUAAUGGGAGAAAGAACUGUAUAGUACAGUAUAGCAUACUGGAAAGUACUCAGAGAUCCAGGGGUGGAGAACAUGAUGAAAGGGGCCCCAUCUUCUAAAGAGCAUGACUUUGGUCAGCAAAGGUGCUUCUAGGCACUAUGAUGUCGUGAGAUAAGAACACGCUUGGCUUCCAAAGCCUUCCCCUUCCCCUCUCUCUCUCCUUUCUCUUACGGCCUCCAGGCUUUGCAGUAGUUACUCUGAAAGACAGGCAAACUCGAGACCUAGUUCCUAGCCAAUAUCCUUGGUCACCUACACUCAGCCCAGCAAUCUCAAUCUCCCAAAGUCCCUGGGAUGGAAAUAUGCCUCUGCUUGCUAGCCUAAACCUGGUGACUGAAUAGUAGGGAAUCUAGACCAAAACAGAACUUUGCUUUUAGAUGAUACACAUCAUCCAGGAGUAACGAUCUUUAUAAUGUGGGGUUCAUUUCUCUUAGUGCACAGGUAAUGGGGAUCUCAGCUUUUAGAAGGACCUUGGUGUUUUCUCUCUCUGUCUCUUAUUUUACCCACUAUUAAACAGGAAUGAAAGAUUUUCUCUUUUACCUUCCUAGGUCGGAAAGGCUGCUGAAUUGUACUUCCUAAAGAUUGGUUGAGUCAGGCUUCAAGGCACUGGAUGGUAGAUUACCUUUCAGAGAAUUUCACAAACCAUAUGAGUCCAUCAGCUAAACUACAGCCCUUCUAGGGAGUUAAGCUAGAAGCCAGAAAAAGUCUUCUGAAAUUCACCUGAUGAGGCAUAAAGAAGGGAGCAGAAUUAUUUUACAUAUUCAUAUCAAAACAUAUUAUUAAAUAUAUGUACUGAAAGAUUAUCUUGCCAUUGAUUUCCCCUAAAAGGCCAAAGGAAAGCAAAAAAGAAAAAAAAAAUUUUUCAUGAGGCCAAAAUCUAAGUAGUUGGCUUGACAUUCCUCAGCCUGAGAUACUUGGAGCUGGUGUGGGUUUGAGGUAUAAAAUCUGCAAGAAUACUCCUUUUGAGACCACUUGAACUACAGAUUGCCUGUACCAGACACUGCUCCCGAGUGGGUCAAAGUCUCAUUGCUUUAGGAAAGGGGCAUUGCUAACCAAACUUGUAACGCAGCUUCCUCUUCCUCGUCUUCCUAGGAAGAACAGCAAGGAGUAUUUUUGUCACUUGAUGAGGGACUCUUGCCAAGAAAAGUUAGUUCAUGUCUAAAGCACAUUUAGAGUUUAUGGGCUGGAGGAGACAGACUCUUACCAUCCGGCUUUCUCAUGAGGGGUACACCAGCCCCGAAGGAUGCAUCUUUAGAAACUGUGUUCUGAGCUGAUAUAAUUGGAAUUACUCCAGCCUAGUGAAGACCAUCCCAUAUUUGGGACCGAAUUCAGUGGUGGUGUCUAAGCUCAGGACAUGCAUGUCAAAGGACAGAUUGCAUGCCAUCCUAUUCCCCUUGCCUCGGAUGAGGACCAGCAUAGAAGCUGGCCCACCUGGGACACCACUUCUACCUACUUCACUAGUCUUUCCUGAGGCAAAAGAAGGAAUUAUCUUUUUAUUAGAAGAUGUUAUGAAACCCUGGAGCCUUUAGGUCAAAUGGUCGUGGACUACUUCUAGCUUCUCAACCUCCUUUUCUGAAAUGAGGGCAUCUGAGCUGGGUUGCUUAUCUCAGAUCUGGACUUUCCCAUACCCUCUAGAGUGUAAGAGCCCUCUCUCCCUGCACAUAGCUCAGAACAGUUCAUGGCCAUGUUACCCUGGAUAUGUAAUCACUUGAUGUUACCUCCUAAUCCCCAGAGCAGUGAGAUUUCAGAGUUCUUCUGGCUUCAAACAGAAAUGAAACACCUUUGGAACUCUUAGAAUGGACAAAACAAACCAAUUGGCUAUUUUUCAGAAACACAAAACAUGAGUAUAGGUGGGACCUUCACCCGGUAUAGUCAUGGACAAUGGGCUGCAAUUGACCAUUUAUUAAAUGCUACUUUUAUGUGGCAUUUUACUGAGUAUUAUUUCAAGGGUUAUUUUGACAUGAAUCCCACUCUCUCCAAAAGUUACUAUCAAGAUCCCACUUACAUUAGUGUAAAAGUUAAUUUCAAAUCUCCUUGGUGAGCUCCUGCCAUGUGCCAGGCGCUGUGCUGGGUACUGGGAAUAGAAAAGUUACCACAACAAAGCCUUUGUCUUCAUUCGCCUUAGAGUUUGGAGGUGGAGACAGCAUAAUAUUUAAUUAGGGCCAGUACCACAGCAUCUUCUAUCCUCUCACUAAGGAAGUCACACCACUUACUAUAAGGCCUGACAUAUCGUCAAGGACUCAGUAAAUAUUUAUUGGAUAAAAUGAAUUUAGGUGAAAAAAAGGAAUAAAUGCUGAGCGAAAGUAUAGGGUGCUAUGCAAAAUACAAAGAAGGAGAAACUUGACUAGUUGGCGAGGACUCACUACAGAAAGUAUCGUUUACACUGAGCCAAGCAAUGAAAGAAAAGAAUGAUGAAAACACCAGGCUUAUGGUGUCAGACCUACAUUCAAAUCCUAGCUGUGUCACUCAUGAGCCUGGCAAGUCUAGCUACUCCAAACCUCAUUCUUUGCAUCCAUAAAAUACUGAGGGCCGCAGUAUUAGUAUUAGGGCCACACCCGAGGCAUAUGGAGGUUCCCAGGCUAGGGAUCUAAUUGGAGCUGUAGCUGCCAGCCUACACCACAGCCACAGCAAUGUGGGAUCUGAGCUGUGACCUAUACACCACAGCUCAUGGCAAUGUCGGAUCCUUAACCCACUGAGCAAGGCCAGGCAUCAAACCCUUGUCCUCAUGGAUACAAGUCAGGUUCAUUAACACUUGAGCCACAACAGGAACUCCUGGCUUCAGCUCUUUUUAGGUGCGUUUUCAGGAAGUGCCCUGCGAUGACCAGGAUCGCUGGCUGUGUAAACGUGGAUAGAAAAGGGUGGUACUGGGGGAGACACCAGCGGCAGCUUUUGAAUUUUCAAUCCAAGACAUGAGAUAGGACUAUAUUUUGAUAUGGAAAAAAAAUGUCCAAUGAGAGGGCCCCCCAAAAAGGACAUGGUGGUGGCCAGAGGAGAGAGAAACUAGGACAUAAAAAGAUUUUAGGCACAAAACUUGAGGGCAGAGAGAACUAGAGGUGUUUAAAAAACAAUGAUGGGGGAGGGAAAGCCAUUGAUUGGGCCUUUGAAACCCCGCCAAGAACCAAGAGCUGGGGCAGUGGCAGAGGGGAAGGCCAGGUAGGGCAAUUCAAGCGGAAAUCUGGCUCCCUCCAGCUCAGCAUGGAGCAGGCCUAGAGAAUUUGCUGCAGUGGGAGGUGGGGCCAGUCUGGCACAGUCUGUGGGUUUGAAAGGAGCUGGGCGGGUUGGAGAAUGCCAGUCAGCUUUUGUCGUUCUGAGCUCAGAGAGGGGGUGACAAAUACUGGGCUUCAGGUCAGAAGCCUGGCUUGGGUGGCUUUUGGAGAAAAUUUCCCUCUGCUCCCAAACUCUGAACAUGCAGUCCUCACACCACAGGCCUCCGAUCACAGCUUCAGCACCUGUCUCAGAGGCCAUUCUCCAGGAAGGGUUUCAGCAGUGGUACCUAUUGGCUGUCUUACGGCGCCCCUUUCCUUUCCUAUGCCCUAGAGACCAUGAACUGGGCUGAGUACAGCAUCUUUGCAUACCUUCCCUCACCACCCCCCAUGCUUCACAUCUCCCAGACUCCUGGGGUUAAUCCCCAAGACAACCUUGCUUUGAAAGAAAAAAUGUGGUGAGCCUACUUGAAGAUUUGGAGCCCAGAAGUCUCUUGUCUGUCCUGCCUCAGCCAGACCCCAGACACCAGGCUCAAGGAGGUGGACGUUCACAGAGAAAGCAGCAGUAAGUUCUUGCUGUUGUUUGUUUUCAAGGCUUGGUUGCUCUUCAGAAUUAGAACCCCCGAAAGCAUAGGUCUUUCUUUUUCUUUUUUUUUUUUUUUUCCUUUUCUUUCCCCUCUCUUUUUUUCCUCAGCAAAAAUUUAUAAUAUAUCUCCUUCCCCUCCUGGGGGUGAGUCAUAAAAGCAAUUGAAUUAGAAAGCACUCCUUCGUCGCCUCUCAUAGCCUGCGUUAAAGAUAUCUGAAGUUGAUCUGUGUGCGCCUCUUCUCCACAUGGUCAUAUUUGAACUGUGUCUGCAUUUGUGAAAAUAAAUUGUACUGAUGGUGGUUCUCCAGAAUAAACACUAAAUAACUGGCUGAUUGAUUGUAAUUAUGAUGAAUUUGUCCCAGGACUGGCAGGGACGUCUUCGUUGGGGAGUUUUGUGCCUAUUUGCUGCUCAUCAAAGGCAAGGAUAGACAGACUUCGGAACAAGGGUGUGGUCUCGCUGAUUCAGCUUCCUUCCCAGCCCAUCUCGACUCCCGCCUUCUGCUCCUCCUCCUCUCACCCCACUCCUCUGAUCCAUCCUGAGGCGGCUGUCAGGGCAACAGCAUCUACCUGUCUUUUUUCUCACUGCCUGUGUUAGACUCGGUCAGGUCAGAGACCACUCCCCGUAAUCAAACUCAUCACAUUUGUGAUCUCAGCAUAUUUUCCAUCCAAUCAAAAUCUCCCUCAGCUUCCCCUACCCUGGGAUUAUUAGUCAACAAAGUAAUAACAAUAAUAAUACUGCAUUUAGAAGCUCCUUAGCAUAUUUCAUCUCUGAAUGUCUUACAGAUGUUAACUAGUUAAUCUUCAUGACACUCUAUCCAGGAGCAGUAAAUAUUAUUAACCAUGAUAGAACAUAUAUAUAUAUAUAUAUAUAUAUAUAUAUAUAUAUAUAUAUAUCUGCGCUAAGGACAGCAAAAUAGUUCACUUAUUUAUCACGGCUCACUUGAUAUAGUAACUGGUAUUUUUUAAACACCCAUCAUAGAUACAAUAAUUAGAGAUGUGCUUUUGUUAACAAAACCACUACCCACUUCUAGCGUACCCCUGGGUACUAAAUAAUUACCCACUUUGUGUGGUUAUCUAGCUCACUAAUUACCCACAGAAAUUGGGGUCAGGUGUUAACUGCUUGAAAUAAGUAUCCUCCAAAGACAUCGCUGAGUUGUAUAGAGAAAAUGAUGUGUUCAUAGCAAAACUUUUAUAAGUUACAUAUUUGUAUGUCUUAGUAAGCAGAGUGCAUACAGAUGGGGACAGACUAGCUUCGCAUGUGAAAAAUCAUGCUGAGCCAUUCUUGCCAAUAUAUAAAGGUUUAGGAGGGUCUCUGGAAAUUUCCUUCUCUGUCUACCUUUCCUCCUUGAAGAUGAGUGCAAUCUGAUUCCCAUAAUCUGGACCUCAUGUAGGAGUACGCUAAGACAAUUGAUGUUUCUCGUUAGGAAUGAUUCAUUUUGGUGUUACAGGGAGGCACCCAGUGAGUCAAAGAUUUUUUUUGACAGCUCCACCCUUUAUGAUUAUUCUAGCAUGUUUCUUUUUCUCCAUCAGUCUAGUGCAAACACCCUAUUAGCCAAAUUUGAAAAAGAUUCUAACCUAGUCUCUGGCCCCUGCCAACCAUCUCUUUCUCCUUCCCAAUAAUGACAGAAAAGAAAAAGAAAAAAAAAAAAAGUAUUACAGGAAACCCAACACUAUGAUUGUAGGUCUUUCUCUUUUUGCCUCAAUUUGUUCUGCUUUCCUCUCUUCCCUCUCCCUUCUUCCUCUCUCUGCAUCUCCUUCUCAUUUGUGCUUUUUCUUCUCCUUUUCCUUGGCAUCCAGCCCUGCUUCUGCAGGUCUCACAGUCAGAGACAAAGCACAAUAUCUGAGUUGAGCACAAAGAAGCUACCUUUAAAAACAUCGACUUGGAAGAAACCUGUAACCUCAGCUCCCUCCCUCCUUCCCUCCCCCCUUGCUCUCUACAGAACUGCCGUUAUAUCUAACACGGUACAGCCUGUUGUUUGCAUGAUUCUAGCCACAAAAACCAAGUGCAGCUGGCAAUAUAUCCACUGUUUGUAGAUAGGUAGAGACCCUCAUUUUCAAGAGAUACCUGCCUUACAGGAUCCUUGUGUAGCUGAGCGUUUAAAAUGUGUGCCAGCAGAAAUGAUAGGAGAUGCUCCCAUAGUCAGUUUAGGAUGUCUUUCAUUUUUUCUCGUGCCACUUUUUGGUCAUCUGAAGGAUUCCUUAUCAUUUAUUAUGGGACUUUGGGCCAAUCAUUGAAAUGUGUAUGGAUCUGAUGGGCAUUUGAGGAGAAAUGCUUCAGGAAUAAGGAAGAUGUCUGCAGUAGAAGCGAAAGGCUAGGAUGAGCUACGGUGACUGCUAAGUUCAUUUCAAAAUCCAAGGGAACAUACGUGGUAAUCAGUACACAUGGCAGAGUCAACGCUCCAAACCCAGCCAUUGCAAGGGACCAGAGUUUUAGCAUUGUAGCCAUCACAUGCCUUAAUAGCGUCUGUGUAUUUUAAAUACAGAUUUGAAUCACUGCUCUUUUAUCCUUCUGAAUGUCGGUAUCAAAGAAGUGUUUAGGCAUUGUUGACUUUCUGUCCAUAAAGAAAACCCACCAAGAUUUCCCAGAUAUGCAUACAUGUUUUUUAGAUGCCCGUGGGAUACCGACAGAACAAUUAGGCAGAGAACUGCACUGUGCUUGCUCCUCUUUGCUCCCCCCCAACACACACCACCUUUUUUUUUUUUCCCUUUUAGAAAAUGUGAUACCUGAUCUCUGGCUCUAGCAGGCUAAGGAUUUUUUUGUAUUUGUAUAAGACAAUGUCUGGCCUUCCCCCUAACCUGCUGGUGUAUUUUUGGUCUCAUUAGUAGUCAGGGAGAAGCCUUAGUGAAGCCUUAGUGCAUCCGGUGCUGGGAGUCAGGGAUAAGACACACGACAACAGAGAGAGGGAGCGGGCGAGAGGAUAUUAGAAGAGAGGCUUGUCUCCAAGAUAUGGAAGGAAGUGAGAAAUGACAGGACCGCAAGCUUUGUAUGGAGGAGCCGGUAGGGCGGGGGCGCCGAGAGGAGCGCGAAGUGGGUUCUCAGAAGCCGUGGAAGAGCUAAAGGUGAUUAGAGGGGAUAUUGAUUCCUUAUUCUGCCAGAGAUUUAAGCAGGCAUGCGAGGAAUCUGCACCAUGGUUGGCAAAAGGAGACCCACUGCCUCCUGUAACCAGACACUCGGGCUUUCCAGGAGCCUAGGGAGAGAGCGGAGAAGAAAGGGGGCAGUGUGGUCUAGGAAAAUUCAACUUGUCGCUGAUUUGUGCCUGAUGCUUGCUGUCCGUCAGCAGCCUCCCUUACAAUCUUUUUUUCCUCUCGCUCCCUUUUUUUUUCUUGCCUUCUCCUUCUUCACUGAAGCCUAGGGGAGCCAGUAAAGAUUAAAUGUGCUUUCUCAAAGGCAGCCACUUCAUGCUGCUAUGUCGAAAGGGCCAUUAUUAUUAUUUUUUUUAAUAGUAAAAGAAAAAGGGAGAGAGGUUGAGAGAGAGAGAGAGAGAGAGAGAGAGAGAAACUAGGUAGGAUGAUGACGGACUAGCUUUUCUGAGAGCGAAAGGAAGAGAGGGAAGGGAGAGAAAAAGGAGAGACCUUAAGCUGAACGGAGGAUUGUGCCUGAGAAGAACCUUAGAGGUGAGAAAAAAAAGUUGUCUUGAAGAUGGGGGAUGGGGGUGGGGAUGCUGAAUAACCCUGUACAGAGGGAAAAGAGACAUAAUUUAGCUGUCUUGCUGGUAUGAUUCUAUUUUGGAAGGGGGACAGGGUUGGGGGGGGGUCCUGGAGCUUUAACGGUUUUUAGUUGCAUGCGGAAAUAUACACAAAAUAUUUAACAUUUUUCCUAAGUGCCUGAGGCCCCCUCCAGUGCCUUCCUCGCAGGGGCUGCUUUGUCAUUCUCUUUGACUAGCCAGCCAUCUACCUUGCUCGGGCUGGAAUAAAAGAAGAAAAAAGGAAAGAAAGAAAGAAAAGGGAAAAAAGGAAGAAAACAAUUUUCAAAGAUUCAUCUUUCCAUGCAUUUCCCCUCCCUUUCGUUUCAUUUUUGGAGGCGGCGCAGGGGCCGUCUUUGCACAGGAAAAGCUCAGCUUCCAGGCAGACAGGGGAAGCGAUGAUCAUUCAGGUACAGAACUGGUAGCUGUCUGCGAAGAUGGAGGGGAGUUAUGCUUCGGAUUCCUCCGAAAUAUUGGCACAAGGCUUCAAAGGAUCCGCAGCGGGAGUGGGGCGGGGGAGAUGCGCCUCCCUGGCUCGCACCCACCCCUUCCCACUCGCCUCGACCAAGUGACAGCCUGGUGCUGGCUCGGGGUGAUUUGGCCUUGGCUUCAGCCAAGCAGCUGAUGCAGAGGAGGCCCGCGCGCAGGACUGGCAAAGUGCACACUAAAGAAGGAAGAAAAUUCGAAAAGCAGCCCUGGGGAGGGUUCUCGUUCUUAUAAAAACCUUUUUUUUUUAAUUUUUUUAUUUUUAACUAAAUAGUCUCAAAAUUUGAUCAGUCCCAGUCUUGCCCUCCACUCCCACCGACCUGCCGUUUAUUUUUUCUCUCUCGUCAAAGCAUAAACUACAGAGUUACAGUCUCUAGAUUUGGUGUAUCGCUUCCUGCCCCCGCCUCCCCCUCCCCGCCCAGUUCUCAGUCCUCUAUUGAAACACCUCGCCCAGGCGAGCGCACUGCGAGCUCACAUUUCCCCCCCUUGCUCGGAAGGUGCUACAGGAGGCAGCAGCCCGGCUCCACUUCCAAUGGUAAGUUGCCUGUUGGGUAAACCUGAAGCUUUUCUGACGGAGCAUCUUCUCCAGAGCCAUGAAUGGGGUGCCCUCACACCCAUUCAAGCAGUGUUCUUGCUUGACUGAGUCUUGACCAUGGUGAACAAUGAGGACAACCUCCGUUUUUCUCGUGAUGCAGCAUUUCACGUCUCGUUAGAAACAGCCUGGCCCCCAGAGUAUCGUUACAUUUCUUUAUUUGUGUGCAAGAGUCGAUGUGAUAACUUUCUGUGACAUGUUCUGUUAUUUUUUUAGUUGUGUUGAUGUUCCUUUCAGCCAAUCCUAUAGUCCCCCCAUCUCAGGAAUGUCUCCCCAGUGACAGGACACAGACUGCAGAGACCGCUGUACUGGUGGACGCUCAAGCCAACUGUGAAGUUGAAACAAAGGAAUCAGGACUCGGUCACCUGAAGACACCUCUUCUGCUAAGCGACACACCCACAUGAUGCAGUUCAGCCAGUAGACUCUCAGAACAAGAGGCAAUCUUUGCAAGAAACAGGAACACUUGAGAAUGACUUCUAGAUUUCUGACUUCCCUUCCUCGUGUGUAUUCCUCUGUUUGUAUUUCAAUUCUGUGUGACAUUCAUCUUUAAAAAAGUGUUUUCUGAUAUGAAUAUGCUUAUCAACACACCCAAUUUUUAAAAUAGAAAAUUUCACACACAUGCUAAUGUUUUAAGGAACAAAAUUCAUGCUAUGAAUUUUAGCCACAUACAAGGUUUGACCUUAAGAGUGACUUAAACAAUAGGAUAUAAAGUUAUUUUGAAACAGCGGAGUCGUCGGAGGUAACUCAAAGGAUAGAAUAACGGUGGUAACUCAGAAUGCAGCGUGGAAAGGCAUUACCCUGUGACACCACCAAUCUACCAUGCUUUCUGUCAGGCAAGCUAGGUUCUGCCUCUGCAGAGUUUAAGUUUAGUUAGGCAGAGGUAUGUACGCUUUUGACAAGAUAAGUAACAAAUCAAGUCAAUAGACAAUAACAGUAAAACCAAAGCAAGACAAAAGAUGUAUGAACAAGGAGCUCAGAGGUGGUCACGUUAAACUGGGCAAACUGGUCCGUUUAGGGAAGAAAGUUCGCAAAGGAGGAGGAAAUGAAUCUUAAAAGAUGUUAAAGAUUUCGAUAAAUGGAAAAGAAGGAGAAAAUCGAGUCCUUUAGAUGGAUGUGGUGUUGUGAGCAAAGUCCGGGAAGACUACAUGUAAUUUUAGGGAAUUAUGAUCACACAUGUCUAGUUGCCUUCACCCCAGACUUUCAGUGCCAGUGUGUGUGUAUGUACAUACGUGGUAAAGACUUCAUGGACACAUUGUCCCUCUCCCGCUUCAGAUGUCGCCUAGAAUCAUAAUUGUAUUUCUUCCAUUAAAGCACGUGAGAGUGGCGAUAACAGGAGGAUUUGUGAUUUUUCUCUUGGCCUGAUAACAAUGGAUGUUUAUUGAGUUCUCACUACAUUUUGAGUAUUUUAUACAUUAACUCUCUGAAGCCUCACAACAAUCCUGCAAAAUUUAUCCCCAUUUUACACUAAGAAAACUGAGGUUUAAUGAGGUUAAGUAACUUGCCAAACCACCACAUCCAGGUGUCACAAUCAGAUUUGCCAUCGCAAAGCUCAUGAUCUAAAGCACUAAGUCAAAAUACUACGACCAACAUCACAAUAUGACCACUUCUCUAGUCCUUGAGAUUUUUCUGUGGUAAAUGGUAACAAUUAUCUUCUCAAAUUUUUCAGUUUUCUGGUUAAAUUACACUAAAGUGAUGGAACGUAUUUUUAUCAUGACAGAAAUUGGAGGGGAAAUGGGGUUUAUCAGCAUUUUAGGCUGCUUUGGUGGGUGUCCAGCCUUUGAUGGGACUAUUCAUUUUGGUGAGCAUGAACUCUCCACUUCUUGAGAAUGAAAAUAGAAAGUGAGGGGAGCCUAAAGGUCAUCUAUACAAUGUCCUUUUCUACAGGUGUUGUCAAUCCAUGAAGUUAGAGUGACUUACAGAAGAUCCCACAUUUGCGUGUAGCAAAGCAAGGUCCAGAAACCAUGCCCUCAGCGGCUCUUAAAUAAACAACUGCAUCCUGCCUAAAAGAAAUGUGAGCUUGAAUUUGAUCAAUGACAACAUUCCAUCUGGGUGAUCAGGGGCGGCAUGGAACCUAGUAGACUGCUCAGUUUUGCACCUCUCUGGCUUCUCACCUCAGCGUGAAAAAUAGCUAUAGCUCUGGGCUGACAUCUUUAGAUGCAGGAAUUGUCAGUGGUCCAUCCACACAGAACAUACAAUGGCCCAAGUUAUGUGUACAGUGUCUUCAAUGAUUUGGAAUUCUCAGUUCACCUAAACAGAUCUUCUCAUGAGCAUUUCCUGAACCAAUUUUAUGCACAGUAUAUAUUAGAGCUUCCACAUCAAGAUUUAAACACGACUGUUUCGCUAGUUCUUAUGUUUUUGACGGUAUCAGUGGUUCUUUGCUAUUUUAACCUUCACUUAUCCAGGUGACUAACUCAAGAAUACUUCAGCAAUAAAAAGCUGGAAUUGAGGAAACCUUAUUCUUUACCAGCCCCUUCGCCUUCAGUUGGCAUUCAGUCAUGCCAAAUAGAGGGGUCAGCUGGAGAACUCAAAUUUGAAAUGCAAUUUUGUCUGAAGUCCGUUAAGCUGUGUUUACUUAAGGGCAAGCUUCUAGAUGUUUGAAAGUACCUGAAUAUUUAACUGUUGUAAAUUUCCAGUUAGAUAUCUGGCAUUGUUGCACUUGGACCUGCUGGUGGCUCAGGUCAUCCUAUUUUCAAAAUGAUCAUUGGCCAUGUGUCACACAAUUCUCAUUAAGUGAGUUCAUAGAGUUUUUUAAGUCGAGCCAAGCACAAAAUGUGACUUUGUUGACAUUUUAUGAGACUUUGUCAUAUGUCCCCUGAACCCCCCAAUAAAAGCACUGUUGCAUCAACUGUGAA